GAAACUGCAUCGGAAGUUGGAAGCAGCAAGGAAAACGCUGGACACUGCUUCCAGAGCGGCCUUCCACAGUCGGCAGUUGCCUGAUGUAAUCCUGAAGUUGGAGGGUGUGAUCUGUGACAAAUGGACCUGAGUCAAGGACAAGAUUUCCUUCAUGAAUAGACUUUAUCCAGUUAGUCACAGAGGAAGUAAAUAUGAAGGGGUCAUAUCAGAGUUUAUCUUCAGUGCAUCCAAGGGCAGACUUCCUGUGACCACCUCACCCCAACCAGAUGUAACAAAUUACCAGCUAACCACUUUAGGACCACUCACUCACUGCUCUGAAUGCAGAAGGAUAAUGUCUGUCACACAGGGAAGGAUUGACCUCAAAGGAAG
rnacentral:lncRNA from 1 species